rnacentral:rRNA from 1 species
GACGAACGCUGGCGGCGUGCUUAACUCAUGCAAGUCGAACGGAAAGGCCCUGCUUUUGUGGGGUGCUCGAGUGGCGAACGGGUGAGUAACACGUGAGUAACCUGCCCUUGACUUUGGGAUAACUUCAGGAAACUGGGGCUAAUACCGGAUAGGAGCUCCUGCUGCAUGGUGGGGGUUGGAAAGUUUCGGCGGUUGGGGAUGGACUCGCGGCUUAUCAGCUUGUUGGUGGGGUAGUGGCUUACCAAGGCUUUGACGGGUAGCCGGCCUGAGAGGGUGACCGGCCACAUUGGGACUGAGAUACGGCCCAGACUCCUACGGGAGGCAGCAGUGGGGAAUAUUGCACAAUGGGCGGAAGCCUGAUGCAGCAACGCCGCGUGCGGGAUGACGGCCUUCGGGUUGUAAACCGCUUUCGCCUGUGACGAAGCGUGAGUGACGGUAAUGGGUAAAGAAGCACCGACUAACUACGUG